UACGUAGGGGACGAGCGUUGUCCGGAAUUACUGGGCGUAAAGGGCGCGCAGGCUGUGCUGCAAGUCAGCUGUGAAAUAUCUGGGCUUAACCUGGAUAUGCGGUUGAGACUGCAGUGCUGGAGUGCUGUAGAGGCAAGUGGAAUUCCCAGUGUAGCGGUGAAAUGCGUAGAUAUUGGGAAGAACACCGGUGGCGAAGGCGACUUGCUGGGCAGCAACUGACGCUGAGGCGCGAAAGCCAGGGGAGCAAACGGG
rnacentral:rRNA from 2 species